AUCUUCAGUGGAACGUACCGAAGACCCGCAGGACCUACUGCAAGAAAUGCAAGAAGCACCAGCCACAUAAAGUGACCCAGUACAAGAAGGGCAAGGACUCUGUGUACGCACAGGGAAAGAGGCGCUUACGACAGAAAGCAGAGUGGUUAUGGAGGACAGACGAAGCCUAUUUCCCGGAAAAAGGCUAAAACCACAAAGAAGAUCGUGCUGAGGCUGGAGUGCGUGGAACCCAACUGCCGCUCAAAGAGGAUGUUGGCCAUCAAGAGAUGCAAACACUUUGAGUUAGGAGGAG